rnacentral:lncRNA from 1 species
ACCGCCAACUCCACUGCCCUGCAGCAAUUUUAACAAAACUGAAGUUUUCCCCUCUCCCUUGACUGCCAUGUCGCUGGGGUACCUGGCCAGGAGAGCAGGAGGCACCUGGGCAAAGAGGAAAGCGGGAAAUGCAGUGGAUCAAAACGAAGAUACGAAUUCCUCUGUGGGAAGGUGGCAUACGGCCCUGGUUAUUCAGUACAUCUGUGUUAUACAUGAUCACAGCACGAGUCAAAGGAGGCAGGACAGACAGAUAUGUGACAGAUGCAUAACAUCUGGAAGGUGUAUUUCAAGGUGGAGGAAUGACACGGGAGUUCUUCAAUAAUAGCUAAUUGCAAGAAUAAAAUACUUUUGCACUGACUUUUCUGGGGGAGA